GGAAAGAAGUCUUCCUAGAGUGGGAGCUGAGCAGAGGGACCACCCACCCAACACGCCUUCAUCAUACACUGGUUACAGAAAAUUUGCCAAACACAAUUGUCACUCAUCUGGCAAUAGCAAUGUGCUUUUCUAUGAUGUGACAAUAGUGUGUGAGGGUAGCCUACUUU